rnacentral:rRNA from 1 species
CCUACGGGAGGCUGCAGUGAGGAAUAUUGGUCAAUGGGCGCUAGCCUGAACCAGCCAAGUAGCGUGAAGGAUGACUGCCCUAUGGGUUGUAAACUUCUUUUAUAUGGGAAUAAAGUGCAGUAUGUAUACUGCUUUGCAUGUACCUUAUGAAUAAGAAUCGGCUAACUCCGUGCCAGCAGCCGCGGUAAUACGGAGGAUCCGAGCGUUAUCCGGAUUUAUUGGGUUUAAAGGGAGCGUAGGCGGGUUGUUAAGUCAGUUGUGAAAGUUUGCGGCUCAACCGUAAAAUUGCAGUUGAUACUGGCAGCCUUGAGUACAGUAGAGGUAGGCGGAAGUCGUGGUGUAGCGGUGAAAUGCUUAGAUAUCACGAAGAACUCCGAUUGCGAAGGCAGCCUGCUGGACUGUAACUGACGCUGAGGCUCGAAAGUGUGGGUAUCAAACAGGAUUAGAUACCCCAGUAGUU